AACGAACGCUGGCGGCAUGCCUAACACAUGCAAGUCGAACGAGACCUUCGGGUCUAGUGGCGCACGGGUGCGUAACGCGUGGGAACCUGCCCAGAGGUUCGGAAUAACUCCCCGAAAGGGGUGCUAAUACCGGAUAAUGUCUUCGGACCAAAGAUUUAUCGCCUUUGGAGGGGCCCGCGUUGGAUUAGCUAGUUGGUAGGGUAAAAGCCUACCAAGGCGAGGAUCCAUAGCUGGUCUGAGAGGAUGAUCAGCCACACUGGGACUGAGACACGGCCCAGACUCUUACGGGAGGCAGCAGUGGGUAAUAUUGGACAAUGGGCGAAAGGCUGAUCCAGCAAUGCCGCGUGAGUGAUGAAGGCCUUAGGGUUGUAAAGCUCUUUUACCCGGGAUGAUAAUGACAGUACCGGGAGAAUAAGCUCCGGCUAACUCCGUG
rnacentral:rRNA from 1 species